rnacentral:rRNA from 1 species
GCCGCAAGGCUAAAACUCAAAGGAAUUGACGGGGGCCCGCACAAGCGGCGGAGCAUGCGGAUUAAUUCGAUGCAACGCGAAGAACCUUACCAAGGCUUGACAUAUACGAGAACGGGCCAGAAAUGGUCAACUCUUUGGACACUCGUAUACAGGUGGUGCAUGGUUGUCGUCAGCUCGUGUCGUGAGAUGUUGGGUUAAGUCCCGCAACGAGCGCAACCCUCGUCGCAUGUUGCCAGCACGUUAUGGUGGGGACUCAUGUGAGACUGCCGGGGUCAACUCGGAGGAAGGUGGGGAUGACGUCAAAUCAUCAUGCCCCUUAUGUCUUGGGCUUCACGCAUGCUACAAUGGCCGGUACAAAGGGCUGCGAUGUCGUAAGGCGGAGCGAAUCCCAAAAAUCCGGUCUCAGUUCGGAUUGAGGUCUGCAACUCGACCUCAUGAAGUCGGAGUCGCUAGUAAUCGCAGAUCAGCAACGCUGCGGUGCUUACGUUCCCGGGCCUUGUACACACCGCCCGUCAAGUCAUGAAAGUCGGUAACACCCGAAGCCGGUGGC